rnacentral:rRNA from 1 species
GACGAACGCUGGCGGCGUGCUUAACACAUGCAAGUCGAACGGAAAGGCCCUGCUUUUGUGGGGUGCUCGAGUGGCGAACGGGUGAGUAACACGUGAGUAACCUGCCCUUGACUUUGGGAUAACUUCAGGAAACUGGGGCUAAUAUCGGAUAGGAGCUCCUGCUGCAUGGUGGGGGUUGGAAAGUUUCGGCGGUUGGGGAUGGACUCGCGGCUUAUCAGCUUGUUGGUGGGGUAGUGGCUUACCAAGGCUUUGACGGGUAGCCGGCCUGAGAGGGUGACCGGCCACAUUGGGACUGAGAUACGGCCCAGACUCCUACGGGAGGCAGCAGUGGGGAAUAUUGCACAAUGGGCGGAAGCCUGAUGCAGCAACGCCGCGUGCGGGAUGACGGCCUUCGGGUUGUAAACCGCUUACGCCUGUGACGAAGCGUGAGUGACGGUAAUGGGUAAAGAAGCACCGGCUAACUACGUG